rnacentral:misc_RNA from 1 species
GAUGAAGAACGUAGCGAAAUGUGAUAAGUAAUGUGAAUUGCAGAAUUCAGUGAAUCAUCGAAUCUUUGAACGCACAUUGCGCUCCCUGGUAUUCCGGGGAGCAUGCCUGUUCGAGCGUCAUUACAACCCUCAAGCUCUGCUUGGUGUUGGGCCCCGCCGCCCCGGCGGGCCCUAAAGUCAGUGGCGGUGCCGUCCGGCUCCGAGCGUAGUAAUUUUUCUCGCUUUGGAGGCCCGGGGGCGUGCUUGCCAUCAACCCCCAAUUUUUUUCAGGUUGACCUCGGAUCAGGUAGGGAUACCCGCUGAACUUAAGCAUAUCAAUAAGCGGAGGA